AGUGAACGCUGGCGGUAGGCCUAACACAUGCAAGUCGAACGGCAGCACAGUAAGAGCUUGCUCUUACGGGUGGCGAGUGGCGGACGGGUGAGGAAUACAUCGGAAUCUACUUUUUCGUGGGGGAUAACGUAGGGAAACUUACGCUAAUACCGCAUACGACCUACGGGUGAAAGCAUGGGAUCUUCGGACCUUGCGCGAUUGAAUGAGCCGAUGUCGGAUUAGCUAGUUGGCGGGGUAAAUGCCCACCAAGGCGACGAUCCGUAGCUGGUCUGAGAGGAUGAUCAGCCACACUGGAACUGAGACACGGUCCAGACUCCUACGGGAGGCAGCAGUGGGGAAUAUUGGACAAUGGGCGCAAGCCUGAUCCAGCCAUACCGCGUGGGUGAAGAAGGCCUUCGGGUUGUAAAGCCCUUUUGUUGGGAAAGAAAAGCAGCAGGUUAAUACCCCGCUGUUCUGACGGUACCCAAAGAAUAAGCACCGGCUAACUUCGUG
rnacentral:rRNA from 1 species